GACGAACGCUGGCGGCGUGCCUAAUACAUGCAAGUGGGACGCAAGGGGACACACUGUGCUUGCACACCGUGUUUUCUUGAGUCGCGAACGGGUGAGUAACGCGUAGGUAACCUGCCUAUUAGCGGGGGAUAACUAUUGGAAACGAUAGCUAAUACCGCAUAAUAUUAAUUAUUGCAUGAUAAUUGAUUGAAAGAUGCAAGCGCAUCACUAGUAGAUGGACCUGCGUUGUAUUAGCUAGUUGGUAAGGUAAGAGCUUACCAAGGCGACGAUACAUAGCCGACCUGAGAGGGUGAUCGGCCACACUGGGACUGAGACACGGCCCAGACUCCUACGGGAGGCAGCAGUAGGGAAUCUUCGGCAAUGGACGAAAGUCUGACCGAGCAACGCCGCGUGAGUGAAGAAGGUUUUCGGAUCGUAAAGCUCUGUUGUAAGUCAAGAACGUGUGUGAGAGUGGAAAGUUCACACAGUGACGGAGCUACCAGAAAGGAC
rnacentral:rRNA from 1 species